UUCCCUGUCCACAUCUGCAUCUCCUCACCUGCUUUCUCCCCUCCCCCCACCCCAUCCUAGUUUUUGCUUUUGAAGCAUCAGACAGAUAAGAAGUACUGUGCACUUAAUGUCAUCCCUAAAUGUUUAAUAGAGUUGGACACAGCCCCUGGAGGCAGCUGCAAGUACAAAACCCAUCGAGCAGGCCUUGGAAAACAACUGUCUAUGCCCUGCCUUCAGGAAAUGCUAGAAAAAGUAGGACUUCUCCAGAUUCCAGCAAGAAAGUCCUUUCCCUUUCCUGAGCUGCUGCUGGAGGUGCCUUUGUCCCAGAACCAUGUACCUUGUGGAUGCUUUGAGAGGUAUCUAUAGGCAGGCAGCAAUCCUCUCUCAGUAUCAAGCCCCCAAGCAAUGGAAAAUCCAUGGUACCCUUGGCAGCCUGUUCUUUUCGAAGUUAAGUUCCAUGCCAGUCUGAGAAAUUAUGCAGGUUUUUAAAGUGUUUAAAGGACUCCACAUCUUACCUGGUCAGUCAUCUCAGUGCUGUUUAUUAAAUGGUUAUUUUGCUGCUUGUUAUCCAGUCUUCUGAAAAGGUGCCUACACGGAAACCAAACAAAAUGCUAUUUCCAUGCGUGCCUCCUUCCUAUUCUAGUACAUCACUCCCAUCAAUGCCACUGAACUCUGCUCAAACAUUUGUAAACCUCUUAAAAGAUGGGACUACCCACUCAAGGUGUACUUAUAACCUUAAAAACUUAUGGAGUUAUCAGCCAAACAGGUCCAGUUGCUGCAAGCUCAUACAUGUCAGAGGCCAGUUUCAUUCCUCUGUUGCUAAGACUUUGGUUUUCUUGGUUUUCACAGUAGUAUCAACUCAUCACUUUUAAAUAUGCAGUGUGAAAAUAAGCUAUUUCCUAUUCUUAUUUUUAAAGCAA